rnacentral:rRNA from 1 species
GACGAACGCUGGCGGCGUGCUUAACACAUGCAAGUGGAGCGACGAACCAGGGCUUGCCCUGGGGCAGAGCCGCGAACGGGUGAGUAACACGUGGGUAACGUACCCCGAUGACUGGGACAACCCGGGAAACCCGGGCUAAUACCGGAUGUGCACCCUCACAUCAGUGAGGUGUGUAAAGGAAGCUUCGGCCUCCGCGUUGGGAUCGGCCCGCGGCGCAUUAGCUUGUUGGUGAGGUAACGGCUCACCAAGGCCGCGAUGCGUAGCUGGUCUGAGAGGACGAUCAGCCACACUGGGACUGAGACACGGCCCAGACUCCUACGGGAGGCAGCAGUGGGGAAUCUUGCGCAAUGCGCGAAAGCGUGACGCAGCAACGCCGCGUGGGGGAAGAAGG